rnacentral:rRNA from 1 species
AUUGGACGCUGGCGGCAUGCUUUACACAUGCAAGUCGAACGGUAACAGGCCGCAAGGUGCUGACGAGUGGCGAACGGGUGAGUAAUGCAUCGGAACGUGCCCAGUCGUGGGGGAUAACGCAGCGAAAGCUGCGCUAAUACCGCAUACGAUCUAUGGAUGAAAGCGGGGGACCGUAAGGCCUCGCGCGAUUGGAGCGGCCGAUGUCAGAUUAGGUAGUUGGUGAGGUAAAGGCUCACCAAGCCAACGAUCUGUAGCUGGUCUGAGAGGACGACCAGCCACACUGGGACUGAGACACGGCCCAGACUCCUACGGGAGGCAGCAGUGGGGAAUUUUGGACAAUGGGCGCAAGCCUGAUCCAGCAAUGCCGCGUGCAGGAAGAAGGCCUUCGGGUUGUAAACUGCUUUUGUACGGAACGAAACGGCUCUCACUAAUACUGGGGGCUAAUGACGGUACCGUAAGAAUAAGCACCGGCUAACUACGUGCCAGCAGCCGCCGUAAUAC